ACUCCUACGGGAGGCAGCAGUGGGGAAUAUUGCACAAUGGGCGCAAGCCUGAUGCAGCCAUGCCGCGUGUGUGAAGAAGGCCUUCGGGUUGUAAAGCACUUUCAGUCGUGAGGAAGGUAGUGUAGUUAAUAGCUGCAUUAUUUGACGUUAGCGACAGAAGAAGCAAUCCCGGCUAANUUCCGGCCAGCAGCCGCGGUAAUACGGAGGGUGCGAGCGUUAAUCGGAAUUACUGGGCGUAAAGCGCAUGCAGGUGGUUUGUUAAGUCAGAUGUGAAAGCCCGGGGCUCAACCUCGGAAUUGCAUUUGAAACUGGCAGACUAGAGUACUGUAGAGGGGGGUAGAAUUUCAGGUGUAGCGGUGAAAAUGCGUAGAGAUCUGAAGGAAUACCGGUGGCGAAGGCGGCCCCCUGGACAGAUACUGACACUCAGAUGCGAAAGCGUGGGGGAGCAAAACAGGAUUAGAUACCCUGGUAGCUACGAGU
rnacentral:rRNA from 1 species